AUCACUGCUCAUUGGUGAAGAUGGAGAAUAGAAGAGUGAACUCUGUGUUUGAGCAUAUGCUUGUUCAUGGAGUGCAGUAAUUUGGAUCCAGACUGCAUGCUACUUCCCAUGGCUGAAGUUUCUUCCAAUUCUUUUUCUGGGGUCACUGAAGAUAUAUCAGUCUCAGAAGCUGUGCUUAAAGCCACUAAAAUCCCCAUUUCAGUAGAUUCUCCUUUACAGAUGGCUUCAAAAG